rnacentral:rRNA from 1 species
ACACUGACGUCGCGACGCAUAUCAAUAAGCGGAGGAAAAGAAACUAACAAGGAUUCCCUUAGUAACGGCGAGUGAAGCGGGAAGAGCUCAAAUUUGAAAUCUUCAAGGUUCUACCUUGACGAAUUGUAGUUUAAAGAAGUGUUUUCUGUUAGAUGGAGUAGCAAAAGUUCUUGGAAUAGGACAUCAUAGAGGGUGAGAAUCCCGUAUUUGGUCAUUCCUUCUAGCUUUGUGAUACACUUUCAAAGAGUCGGAUUGUUUGGGAAUGCAGUCCAAAAUGGGUGGUAAAUUUCAUCUAAAGCUAAAUAUUGGCGAGAGACCGAUAGCGAACAAGUACCGUGAGGGAAAGAUGAAAAGAACUUUGAAAAGAGAGUUAAACAGUACGUGAAAUUGUCAAAAGGGAAGCGUUUGACACCAGUGUUGUUUUUCCGAAAAUCAAUUAGAAUGGUUUGAUUUCUGAGUAGUGAUGACCUUCAUCAGCUUUCUCACUCUCUCUUCCGAGAUCUUUCGUAAUGCACUUUUCGGUUAACAAGUCAACAUCAAUUUCUUUUGUUGUAAAAGAGUAUUCGGAAGGUGGCUUUCUUUUCGGAGAAAGUGUUUAUAGCCCUAUACUUCUACAAUCGGAGAGAUUGAGGUCUGCAGCGUAGAUCCUUCUGGAUUAGAUACACUUGUGCUAAGUUAUAGCUUUUUCAUAGACAACUUGUUGACUAUAUUUUAGUCAUUGUAGCUUACUCGCUUAUGCUAAUUUUACCUACGCUUAGGAUGUUGAGUCGUAGAGCACGCAG